rnacentral:rRNA from 1 species
GUGAGGAAUAUUGAACAAUGGGCGCAAGCCUGAUCCAGCCAUGCCGCGUGCAGGAAGACGCAUCUAUGGUGUGUAAACUGCUUUUGUACGGGAAGAAACACUCCCUCGUGAGGGAGCUUGACGGUACCGUAAGAAUAAGGAUCGGCUAACUCCGUGCCAGCAGCCGCGGUAAUACGGAGGAUCCAAGCGUUAUCCGGAAUCAUUGGGUUUAAAGGGUCCGUAGGCGGUUUAAUAAGUCAGUGGUGAAAGCCCAUCGCUCAACGAUGGAACGGCCAUUGAUACUGUUAGACUUGAAUUACAAGGAAGUAACUAGAAUAUGUAGUGUAGCGGUGAAAUGCUUAGAUAUUACAUGGAAUACCAAUUGCGAAGGCAGGUUACUACUUGUGGAUUGACGCUGAUGGACGAAAGCGUGGGGAGCGAACAGGAUUAGAAACCCCGGUAGUCC